AACGUAGGUGGCGAGCGUUAUCCGGAUUUACUGGGCGUAAAGGGUGUGCAGGCUGCCCCUCAAGUGGUGUAUGAAAGGGCUCGGCUCAACCGGGCUAGGUUAUGCCAGACUGAGGGGCUAGAGAGCGAGAGCGGGACGUGGAAUUCCGGGUAUAGUGGUGAAAUGCGUAGAGAUCCGGAGGAACCCCAGAGGCGAAGGCGGCGUCCUGGCUCGCAUCUGACGCUCAGACACGACAGCAUGGGGAGCGAACGGG
rnacentral:rRNA from 1 species